rnacentral:rRNA from 1 species
CCUACGGGGGGCUGCAGUAGGGAAUUUUUCACAAUGGGCGAAAGCCUGAUGGAGCAAUGCCGCGUGAAUGAUGAAGGUCUUAUAGAUUGUAAAAUUCUUUUAUUUGGGAAGAAAAACUAAAGUAGGAAAUGACUUUAGUCUGACUGUACCAUUUGAAUAAGUCUCGGCUAACUCUGUGCCAGCAGCCGAGGUAAUACAUAGGAUGCAGGCGUUAUCCGGAUUUACUGGGGGUAAAACGAGCGCAGGCGGAUUAACAAGUUUGGUAGGAAAGGCUUUUGCUUAACGAAAGUUUGUAUCAAAAACUGUUGUUCUUGAGUGCAGGAGAGGGUGAUGGAAUUCCAUGUGGAGCGGUGGAAUGCGUAGAUAUAUGGAAGAACACCAGUGGCGAAGGCGAGAUCUUAGACUAUCACUGACGCUGAGGCUCGAAAGUGUGGGGAGCAAAUAGGAUUAGAUACCCUGGUAGUC